AUACGGAGGAUCCAAGCGUUAUCCGGAAUCAUUGGGUUUAAAGGGUCCGUAGGCGGUUUUAUAAGUCAGUGGUGAAAUCCGGCAGCUCAACUGUCGAACUGCCAUUGAUACUGUAGGACUUGAAUUAUUGUGAAGUAACUAGAAUAUGUAGUGUAGCGGUGAAAUGCUUAGAUAUUACAUGGAAUACCCAUUGCGAAGGCAGGUUACUAACAAUACAUUGACGCUGAUGGACGAAAGCGUGGGGAGCGAACAGGAUUAGAUACCCUGGUAGUCCACGCCGUAAACGAUGGAUACUAGCUGUUUGGUUUUCGGACUGAGUGGCUAAGCGAAAGUGAUAAGUAUCCCACCUGGGGAGUACGGGCGCAAGCCUGAA
rnacentral:rRNA from 1 species